CCUACGGGUGGCAGCAGUGAGGAAUAUUGGUCAAUGGCCGGAAGCCUGAACCAGCCAAGCCGCGUGAAGGACGACGGUGCUACGUAUUGUAAACUUCUUUUGUCAGGGAACAAAUGCAGGCACGUGUCCCUGUCUGAGUGUACUUGAAGAAAAAGCAUCGGCUAACUCCGUGCCAGCAGCCGCGGUAAUACGGAGGAUGCGAGCGUUAUCCGGAUUUAUUGGGUUUAAAGGGUGCGCAGGCGGUCGGUUAAGUCAGCGGUCAAAGCCCGGGGCUCAACCCCGGCGAGCCGUUGAAACUGGCAGUCUUGAGAUGGCGAGAGGUAUGCGGAAUGCGCGGUGUAGCGGUGAAAUGCAUAGAUA
rnacentral:rRNA from 1 species